rnacentral:rRNA from 1 species
ACUCAAAGGAAUAGACGGGGGCCCGCACAAGCGGCGGAGCAUGCGGCUUAAUUCGAUGCGACGCGAAGAACCUUACCUGGGUUUGACAUGCAGGGUGAAAUCGUUGAAAAACGACGCUCUUCGGAGCCUGCACAGGUGGUGCAUGGCUGUCGUCAGCUCGUGCCGUGAGGUGUUGCCUUAAGUGGCGCAACGAGCGCAACCCCUGUCCUUAGUUGCCAGCGGGUCAUGCCGGGAACUCUAGGGAAACUGCCGGUGCCAAACCGGAGGAAGGUGGGGAUGACGUCAAGUCAGCAUGCCCCUUAUAUCCAGGGCUGCACGCAUGCUACAAUGCGCGAUACAAAGGGUUGCGAUCCCGCAAGGGGGAGCGAAUCCCAAAAAGUCGCGCUCAGUUCGGAUCGAGGUCUGCAACCCGACCUCGUGAAGUCGGAGUCGCUAGUAAUCGCAGAUCAGCAUUGCUGCGGUGAAUACGUUCCCGGGCCUUGCACACACCGCCCGU